CAAUAAUACAAGAAUGCAGAGAUCAGGAGUAGCAGGGAGGGGAGGAGCUGCUCCAACAGCGAUACAAUCUCCUCUCCCCUGCGUGUGAAGCUGGGGAGUGGUAGCUGCCACCAUUUAUAAAGCUGGCACAACAGACGGCUGCCCGGUGAUUGGUCCCAGUAAGGUUCCAUUCCAGCCAUCGGGAUCAGGGGAAGAGAUUGGACAAGGAGGCUAGUGCUCACGUGGACGACUUCCACAACAGCUCUCUCACCAACGGAGCUGCUAAGAGGUGAUCCAGUAUUGUUGCUGGAGGCUCCAGGACUCAGCCAGAGAGUGUUUCUCUGAACAGCUUCAGACACAUCCUUACAUAUCCAAAAUAAAGGGAAAGAUGGAGAAUUAAGGAUUGAUCUGCAGAGGCAAUACCUUCAGCGACCAUGCAAGCAACCAGUUAUAACCAGAGCUGAAGGGAUUAUUCUAUUCAGGGAGAAAAACAGUCCACUAGGUAUCGCCUGCUAAUGCAAGAGAAGCUGCCCCAACAACUGUCACUGGUGAUAAGUACGUUGAGAGGUCAACUUUCAGCUGUGUAGCAACACAUCUUUCGCCUUGUCAGAACAUUCAACCUCUAAGUGCUGGAACUAAGAGCCAAGCAUGGAGGCGGAGGAUCUGCAAGUUGGGGUGAAGGAUCAGGCUGUCAUUUUGAGAGAGCAGAUGAAGAAUGGGCCAACGGGGAACCGGAGUACAUACUGCCAUCUGUUCCAGGCAACUGGAUAUUGAAAACUUCUCCAUAAUCAUCAACAAAUAAUUCCUGCACCUAAGAGGGGGAAAAAGGUUAUUUAUAAAAGACAAAUCACAGGAAUCCUGUGAUAUCACAAAAAAGUGCAUUUUAUGUACAUUUUUAUACUAAAUUGAAGGAGAAACUGAAGAGCACAAUACAGAAGCAUCAGUGAUAAAAGAAUUAGUUUCUUGGCUCUAGAAAGCUAGAUUCCCUUAAUGACUUAAAAUAAGGCCUUCAUGGAAGCAGCCACAUGUGGAAUAUGAAAUAAAUUAUUUUCACUUGCCCCCCAAA